rnacentral:rRNA from 1 species
UACGUAGGGUGCGAGCGUUAAUCGGAAUUACUGGGCGUAAAGCGUGCGUAGGCGGUCCCGCAAGUCCGCUGUGAAAGCCCCGAGCUUAGCUUGGGAACUGCAGUGGAAACUAUGGGACUUGAAUCCGGCAGAGGGGGGUGGAAUGCCACGUGUAGCAGUGAAAUGCGUAGAGAUGUGGCGGAACACCGAUGGCGAAGGCAGCCCCCUGGGCUGAGAUUGACGCUCAGGCACGAAAGCGUGGGGAGCAAACAGG